ACAAAUCAGUUGGAGAUACUCAAAUUAUCCUAUUUAACCAAAAUAGAGAAUGAAAAAACCGUAAAAGACAGAGCUUCCCCCACACUACUACUCUAACUACCGUCUUCCAUCUAUGUCAUGUAUUUAGCAUUAGAUGAAAAGUGAUAACAAACGCCUAAGUCUUUCCAUGCUCUAUGUGUUCCAUCUGAGUACCUACACAUUAAUUGAUCUGAGGAAACCACAAGUCUUGAGGAGAUUAAACUAAAAGAAUUUAGUAGGAAAAUGUACUGAAUGAGAAAUAGUGUGCAAUUAUCACACCUGAAUUUCUUCUGGCACAUAGAUAAAACACUCAAAUAGAAGAGAAAUCUAAAGUGAAAAGACG
rnacentral:lncRNA from 1 species